rnacentral:lncRNA from 1 species
AUUUAUGCAGUAGCCAUGUUUGUCAAAGUAUUUGGCACCAAUGACAUCAUCUCUGUUGAAAUGCUGGACAGCGUGAUGAGUCCCAGAUGUUAAUGCACACCAAAAGCUGAGAAAGAAUGAAAUAUAAAGAUCAACUGUAACAGCUAUGGAGGUCUGUACUCAGUUUACAUCUGAUGUUCAUACAUGAAGAAUCUGGGAUUUUUUCAAGGGUUCCUAAAGCUGUUGAGACUUACAGUGCCACGGCUGCAUUGUGUGCAGUGCGCAAUAACAGCAGCAUUUGAGAUAAUGACGGCUGUGCUGUGCAUGGGAAGGUGCCAAGCCUGCAGCACAUAGGGUGCCC